CGCGCGAAUACGGAGGGUGCGAGCGUUAAUCGGAAUUACUGGGCGUAAAGCGCAUGCAGGUGGUUUGUUAAGUCAGAUGUGAAAAGCCCGGGGCUCAACCUCGGAAUUGCAUUUGAAACUGGCAAACUAGAGUACUGUAGAGGGGGUAGAAUUUCAGGUGUAGCGGUGAAAUGCGUAGAGAUCUGAAGGAAUACCGGUGGCGAAGGCGGCCCCCUGGACAGAUACUGACACUCAGAUGCGAAAGCGUGGGGAGCAAACAGGAUUAGAUACCCUGGUAG
rnacentral:rRNA from 1 species